UUACAGUGUUGUUUCCCGCCAUAAUAGAUACGGACGCAGCCGCGCCUUCUACUUCGGACUUCUGGUUGUAGUCUCAGUGUACUGCUUGCCAUUCUGAAAAAGAUCACUUCUCAGUCUCACCUUCUCUUCAUUUUCUAGGGUUCGCAAGGAAGAAAAAUACCGUAGACCUGCGCCAUGGGCGAUUCUAGGGUUUUCGCCGAUUACAACCCUAGUACUUCACGGUCCAGGGCAGGUACCGUUAUGCGGAUCCGAUUAGAGAACUUCAUGUGUCACAGCAACCUCCAAAUCGAGCUCUGCCCUUGGGUCAAUUUCAUUACCGGUCAAAAUGGAAGCGGCAAAAGUGCAAUAUUGACUGCUUUAUGUAUUGCAUUUGGAAGCCGAGCCAAAGGGACUCAGCGGGCAGCUACCUUGAAGGAUUUUAUCAAAACUGGUUGCAGCUAUGCUGUUGUUGAAGUGGUAGUGAAAAAUCAAGGGGAGGACGCGUUUAAGCCAGAUAUCUAUGGUGAUGCCAUAACUAUAGAACGCAGGAUUAAUCAAUCAACAAGUUCCACAGUCUUAAAAGAUUUCCAAGGAAAAAAAGUUGCUAGUCGGAAAGAGGAACUUCGGGAGCUCAUUGAACAUUUUAAUAUUGAUGUUGAGAAUCCUUGUGUAAUCAUGAGUCAAGACAAAAGCAGAGAGUUCUUACAUUCUGGGAAUGACAAAGAUAAAUUCAAAUUUUUUUUCAAGGCAACUCUCCUUCAGCAAGUUAAUGAUCUUUUACAAAGUAUUUACGAACAUUUAAGGUCUGCAAAUGCACUUGUUGAUGAAUUGGAGGCUACAAUAAAACCCAUAGAGAAAGAAAUUGCUGAAUUGCAAGUGAAAAUAAAAAACAUGGAGCAUAUAGAAGAAAUAUCUCAGCAGGCACAACAAUUAAAGAAGAAGCUUGCAUGGUCAUGGGUUUAUUAUGUAGACAAGCAACUUGAAGAACAAAGUGUGAAGAUUGGAAAGCUUAAAGAACGUAUGCCCACUUGCCAAGCUAAAAUUGACUGGGAACAAGGUAAGGUGGAGUCGCUGAGGGACCACUUUACAAAGAAGAAGGCCCAAAUUGCACUCAUGAUGCAAAAAACAUCAGAAGUGAGGAGAAAACAGGAUGAAUUGCAGAAUUCUAUUUCCUUGGCAACAAAAGAGAAGCUUGAGUUAGAAGAAAAGCAUGGUCGUGCAGCCAACCACAUUCAGAAAUUGCUAAAACGUGCACAGUCUCUUCAACAAGAAGUCCAUGAUACUCAGGAGCAACAUUUUAGAAACACACAGGCUGAAGAAUCUGAAAUAGAGGAAAGGAUAAAAGAACUACAAUGUAUGGUUGAUGCUGCUAGUGCCACAUUACAAAGGUUGAAGGAAGAUGAACGUGAGUUAUCAGAAACCGUAUCCAAGGGAAUGAAUGAAAUCAGAAAAAUAAAUGAAGAGAUAGAUAAUUAUGAAAAGAAGCGUCAUGAUACCAAUACAAGCAUUCGCCAGCUUCGGCAACACAAAGCCAACAAGGUGACGGCCUUUGGGGGACAGAGAGUGAUUCAUCUUCUGCAAGUUAUUGAAAGAUAUCACCAACAAUUUGACAGACCGCCUAUAGGUCCAAUUGGUGUCCACCUGACAUUGGUUGAUGGUGAUGCAUGGGCUCUUGCUGUUGAAAAUGCCAUUGGAAGGUUGCUCAAUGCUUUUAUUGUAACAAGUCAUAAUGAUUCUCGACUUCUAAGAAGUUGUGCUAGAGAAGUAAGAUAUGAUAACCUUCAAAUUAUCAUAUAUGACUUCUCACGACCAAGGUUGGCCAUACCACCUGACAUGCUUCCCAGGACAAAUAAACCUACUACACUUUCUGUUCUACAUUCUGAAAAUCAUAUUGUAUUGAAUGUCUUGGUGGAUAUGGGUAGUGCUGAGAGGCAAGUGCUUGUAGAAGAUUAUGACGCAGGUCGGGCUGUUGCUUUUGACAGAAAGAUCCCAAAUCUGAAGGAGGUUUUCACCUUAGAUGGAUAUAAAAUGUUUUCCCGGGGUUCAGUUCAGACAGUGCUUCCUCCAAAUAAGAAGCUUAGAACUGGCCGUCUAUGUAGCUCUUAUGAUAAUCACAUUAAGGAUCUUGAACAACGUGCAUCAAAUUUUCAAAAGGAAGCUGAAGAAUGCAGGAAAAGGAAACGGGAAACUGAGGCAAAUCUUCAGGAUCUUCAAAAUGGUCUAAAUAAUGUGAAGCGGAGAUGCUCAAGUGCUGAGCGGGAUCUGGCAUCCAAGAAACUAGCACUACAAGAUUUGAAGAAGUCAUAUGCUUCUGAAAGUAGUACACCAGCUGUCUCAACUGUUGAUGAGCUUCAUCAAGAAAUUUCAAAACUCCAAGAGGACAUACAAGAAAAAGAAAUUGCUCUGGAGAUAUUUCGAGUUAGAAGGGAUGAAGCUGAAGCUAAGGCUAGGGACCUGGGAUUAUCAUUUGAGAAUUUAUGCGAGUCAGCUAAAGAAGAACUUGAUGCCUUUGACAAAGCAGAGGCUGAGCUUAUGAAGAUAGAAAAAGAUCUACAGUCUGCAGAAGCGGAGAAGACUCAUUAUGAAGGUAUAAUGACUAACAAGGUCCUUCCUGAUAUCCAAGCAGCAGAGGCACAUUAUCGAGAGCUUGAAGAGACCCGGAAGGAGAGUUGUAGAAAAGCUUCAAUUAUAUGUCCUGAGAGUGAUAUUGAAGCUUUAGGAGGUUGGGAUGGGAGCAGCCCAGAGCAACUCAGCGCCCAAUUAAAAAGAUUGAACCAGAGGCUUCAGCAUGAGAGCCAGCGGUAUUCUGACUCUAUCGAUGAUCUUAGAAUUUUGUACCAGAAAAAGCAACGUAAAAUCUUAAAAAAACAACAAACAUAUCAAGGGUUUCGAGAAAAGUUGAAGGCUUGUCAGGAAGCCCUAGAUCUGCGAUGGAACAAGUUUCAGAGGAACAGUACUCUUCUAAAGCGUCAGUUGACUUGGAAUUUUAAUGGUCAUUUAGGAAAGAAAGGGAUCAGUGGUAACAUCAAAGUUAGUUAUGAAGAAAAAACCCUUAAAGUAGAGGUAAAGAUGCCCCAAGAUGCAUCAAGCAGCUCUGUUCGUGACACCAGAGGUCUUUCAGGCGGUGAGCGUUCUUUUUCAACAUUGUGCUUUGCAUUAGCUCUUCAUGAGAUGACAGAAGCCCCAUUCCGAGCAAUGGAUGAGUUUGAUGUAUUUAUGGAUGCGGUUAGCCGGAAAAUUAGCUUAGACACUUUAGUGGACUUUGCAUUGGCGCAAGGGUGUCAGUGGAUAUUUAUCACACCUCAUGAUAUCAGUAUGGUAAAACAAGGGGAAAGGAUAAAGAAGCAGCAAAUGGCGGCUCCUCGCUCUUGAUUCUACCCAUACGAGUAAUUCUUCCCCCAUUUGUACAACUUGAAAUGCUAUGCUCUCAAUUUGAUCAGAUGACAUACGAAGGUUUUGCCUGCUGGAGAACUGUAUCGAACAGCAACAAUGCGACAAAAAUUUAACGAGUAGUUCAAUGUCGUAUAUUUUUGUGCAUGUUUAGAUUGAUUUGAAAAUCUAUUGUGCCUACGGCGUGGCGUUGAGCGUAUUAAAUUUGGAAGCAGAUGGAUCUAAUGAAUAAUGCAUAUGAUACCAUCCAUGAAUUAUGAGUGUCCAAGAUUUCUUGAACAGGGAAUGGGCUCUGAUACGAGUUUCCAAUUACAAGACAAAGCUGUCCGUGGUUUGAAUAUCCCUAAGAAUUCCAGCUAAGAAAAGUGUGGGAACCUAUCAUUUUUCUACUGUGUUGAAUAUCCUUCCUUCCCUUAUGUAACAACCAGUUCUAAUGCAUCACUUUUUGAGAUCCCAUUGAGUUUGAAACAUGUUACUUUGAAGAAGAGGGUUUUUAGUCGUUAUGUAAAAGUCUUGGAAAUGUCAAAUGUAAACCACACCUUUAUACAGUGCAUAUUUUAAUAUCUUGGGUGGAAAUAAUUGAAAGCAUCUCUACGGCAAAAAUAACGCAUUUUGAUAAA